AAUACUUAGGAAUCUGCCCAUUAAUGGGGGACAACAGUUGGAAACGACUGCUAAUACCGCAUACGCCCUACGGGGGAAAGCAGGGGAUCUUCGGACCUUGCGUUAAUGGAUGAGCCUAAGUCGGAUUAGCUAGUUGGUGGGGUAAAGGCCUACCAAGGCGACGAUCUGUAGCGGGUCUGAGAGGAUGAUCCGCCACACUGGGACUGAGACACGGCCCAGACUCCUACGGGAGGCAGCAGUGGGGAAUAUUGGACAAUGGGGGGAACCCUGAUCCAGCCAUGCCGCGUGUGUGAAGAAGGCCUUUUGGUUGUAAAGCACUUUAAGCGAGGAGGAGGCUACUAGUAUUAAUACUACUGGAUAGUGGACGUUACUCGCAGAAUAAGCACCGGCUAACUCUGUGCCAGCAGCCGCGGUAAUACAGAGGGUGCGAGCGUUAAUCGGAUUUACUGGGCGUAAAGCGUGCGUAGGUGGCCAAUUAAGUCAAAUGUGAAAUCCCCGAGCUUAACUUGGGAAUUGCAUUCGAUACUGGUUGGCUAGAGUAUGGGAGAGGAUGGUAGAAUUCCAGGUGUAGCGGUGAAAUGCGUAGAGAUCUGGAGG
rnacentral:rRNA from 1 species